AGUCGAGGGGCAGCACGAUGUAGCAAUACAUUGGUGGCGACCGGCGCACGGGUGAGUAACGCGUAUGCAACCUACCUAUCAGAGGGGAAUAACCCGGCGAAAGUCGGACUAAUACCGCAUAAAACAGGGGUUCCACAUGGAAAUAUUUGUUAAAGAAUUAUCGCUGAUAGAUGGGCAUGCGUUCCAUUAGAUAGUUGGUGAGGUAACGGCUCACCAAGUCCACGAUGGAUAGGGGUUCUGAGAGGAAGGUCCCCCACACUGGUACUGAGACACGGACCAGACUCCUACGGGAGGCAGCAGUGAGGAAUAUUGGUCAAUGGGCGAGAGCCUGAACCAGCCAAGUCGCGUGAAGGAUGAAGGAUCUAUGG
rnacentral:rRNA from 1 species